UUUCUAACACAACAUAGUAAUAGUUUUAUUACCAGCUCAAAUUACUGAACUUGGCACUUACUGGCUGAAUCAGAGGGAUGAAAUGGUUGGGUAUGUUAAUGAAAGGAUAAAAUAUGGACAGUAUGCUGACUGCAGAAAGAUCAAUCUGAAAGAAAAGAGUCAUCAAAGGAGUAAAGCUGAAGAAAAGCAUAAUAGGACACAGCAAGAGAUGUUAAGUGUUGUUGUGGUCAUCGUAAAUCCAGCCUUCAGUACCUGUCUGGACCGUCCCAGCCAACCACACAUCCUUAGCUUUCUGGAACUGAGAGGCUGCCUUUUCUGUUGAGCAAAAUAGUAUCUGGGAUUGGGUGAGAUCAUUGUACUAAGUGUUUUUCUCUCUCUGUACAUAGAAAUUGCUAACAUUAGUUGUAUUAAUAAAGUAAGACUUUGAUUUUA